UAUCAAUGUAAGAAGUUGUUUUGGUUGGAGAUGGAUGAUUCAAAGGAAGCAACGGGGCAAAGGAACUAUGGGUGGCUCAUAGUCUUAUACUACUGUUGAGCUUGAGGAUAAGCUCUUUCUCCAGGAAGGGGAGUGAUGUUAUAGAUGCAUUUGUGGGCAAGACUUCUGCAAGACGUGAUCACAAGAGAUUCUAGUCGAUGGCAACAACAAUGGCAACAAAUAAAUUAAUAUCAAAGGCGGAUUCAACAGCAAUAACAACUAAUUAUUAGCAAAAAUAAAUAUCCCAAUUAAGAUGUUACUCUGAUCGUCAUUGUCUUACAUUAUGGCCUUAACUGUCGGUUUUCAAUUAUAAAAAAUUUCAUAUGACAUCAUGUAAUAAUCUCUAUAUAAGGAUAUUAGAUUAUGAAUAAAAUAUCAAAUAGAAUUAUUUUCAAUAAAAUUGAGAUCUGGACUCUCUCAUCUCCAAAGAGUCUAAGGUUAGAGCUCCCUUUUAAGGAGCUCACGUUUUCAGCAACAAUAGGUCGAGGAAAAAAUCGAGGUAAAGCAAAAGCUUCAGCUUCAGCUUCAGCUUUUGAAUCAGAUUUUAUUAUUAAUAGGCCCAUAACUACAUCCUGAGCAAGAGAUCAUAACAAAUUGAUAUCAGAUUCGGUUGUCAUGGACGACACAGAUCCAAAAGAAGAAUUGAGGGCGCUAUUCCAAAAAGCACAAGCAUUGACUGAAGCAAGAGUAGCACAGGCUGAAUCAAGGAUGGAAGAUUGGAUCAAACAAUCAAAGUUGAAACUGGAAUCCCAAUUACAAAAAUUGUCCCAUCAAUUACAAGAGUUCAUUCAGGUAACUUACAAGACCCGAGGCAAAGAAACAAAGGGCGGCUUAAGUAGCAAUAACAACUAUGAAGGCAACAAAAAUAGAAUUGAUUAAAAAACAGAAGCGAGACCUAGGACAGGGGUAGUACCAAGGUAUACGAAGUUAGAUUUUCCAACAUUUGAUGAAUCCGAAGAUCCGUUAAUUUAGUUACACCGAUGUGAACAAUUUUUUUCAAACCAAUGAAUGCCAAAAACAGAUAAAUUGAACCUCGUAGCAUUCCAUAUGAAAGGAGAAACACAACUUUGGUUCUACUUAUUAAAACAAGAAAAAGUCCAACUAUCGUGGAAUGCAUUCAAAGAAUAUUACAAUUUGAAAUUUGGGCCUCCACUCAGAAGCAAUCCUUUAGGCAAUUUUACUAAUCUAAAGCAAACGGGGAAGGUCAAAGCAUGGUUUUAAAUCGCGGUCGCGUUGGCAAUCGCAGUCAUGGUCGCGGGUAACAGAAACGGGCCUGUAACGGCCGUAACGUAACGGUAAUGGCCGUUUCCGUUACCUGCGACUGCGACUGUGACCGCAACUGCGACCGCGACCAUGAUUUAAAACCAUGCUUCUACAGUAAUUUGGAGUAGAAAUGAGACAAUUCACAGUAGUGAAAUGUCAUGGCCUUGUUGGGGAAGUACUGUGCUGUGACCAUAUUUUGUGAUACUGAUCUAUUAUCUACUUGGAGAAGUAGAUGGAGUAGUAAAUGAGCUGGUGUUUACAGAAUUUUGAAAAAUGAUUUAUCCGUGUGCUAUUUGAGACCAUCUGUUGUACCGUGAAGUGGGAAGGGUUCGUUGUUUUGGUGGUGAGCAAGGUUGGAGUGCAAUUUAAAAGAAAUAGGCCAUGAUGAUAAAAUGGAAUAACAGAAUUAACAUUAGAGAAGGGAACAGGUAUUAUUGAAUAAUGUGCUUGUCUUUAUUGGAUUUAGUCAUGUGCUUGUUUGCUUAAGGCUAGGGGUUUAGGGAGUCCUCUCCCUUAUAUUUUUCCAUUAAAAAUGUGAUAACAUGUUAGGAUUUGUUAUAUAUUUACUAAUUUAUGUCCAGAAUGCCAAAGUCUGGCAUCUGUAGUUUUUUUAUUUAUUUAAAGUGACUAACUACAACAUUCAAUUAGUGAUAUGGUGUGCUUCUGGUCUUAAUCUGUGAUAUCCUUCUAGCAACCUGGUUUCCUGGUUAUGCCGAUCAGACUUUUGUCUGUGCCCUAUGGUUGAUGUUAUACCGGUUUUUCUGUGAACUUUGGUUUACUAUAUGUCUAUUUUUGGUAAUGCCUAUAUCAUUGUCUACUUCCCUUUUCCAUGAUGUUAAAGCAGUCCAUUCUAUGUUGUACCUUUGGCGUUACUGUGAAGUUCAUGAGUGACUAUUGGCUUUGUAAAUGUUGUGCUCAAUCCAUAUACUCCAGUUCAUGUCAACCAUGUCUCAUGAUUGCAGAGAGAGUUGUGAUGUUUGUUUAGGAGGAAUUGGAAUGUGAACAUCAAUCGUAUGUUAUUGUCAGGUUCAAUGUGACCGAGUUUUGUUAUUUUCUGUUUUCUCGUCGUCUGGUAGGUUCCCUUAGAGAGUUCAGUUCCCACAAGUGAUAACAAUAGCGGAACCACCACCUUAACUGAUUUACAUUUAUUUAACUCUACUUGAUUACUUGAUUCGAAGUUCAUGUGCUGUCCAAGUGAAUUAGCCUCCAAUUUCUUGAAUUUUAUAAGGACUACAUGAUCUAUUUCCUGGCUGUUUGUGGCUUUUAUUCAUUCUAAAACUGCUGAAUUUGCUGUCUCUAAACUCUGUUGCCCUUUUAGUUUGACAUUGUAAACUCCCUGAAAUAUUUGAAAGAAAGACCUGAAUUAUUAUUCUUGAACCCAUGACUGCAAAAUUACAGGUCUUCAAAAGACUUCCCAGA
rnacentral:misc_RNA from 1 species